rnacentral:misc_RNA from 1 species
GGAAAAUUUAGGAGACAAUUUCUAACGGGAGAAACUGGUAAUAGACUUUUGGUUUGAGAAUUUUAGUCGCAAAGUUUUAGAGUAUAAAAUAUAUUAAUAUUACAUCAAGCGAUCAUUCACAAAAUUUGAUCGAGAUUCAAGAUUUCGCUUGGGUUCCUUUAUUGCUACCCUUGGUUAUUUUCGUGUGGUGAAGUCGUCGCUCUCUCUCGUCGGUCUCAAUUUUCACUGCCUACAGAAAGGUAAUGUUUCUUCGUCCUAAUAUUAUUUUC